rnacentral:rRNA from 1 species
AUUGAACGCUGGCGGCAGGCCUAACACAUGCAAGUCGAGCGGAUGAAGGGAGCUUGCUCCUGGAUUCAGCGGCGGACGGGUGAGUAAUGCCUAGGAAUCUGCCUGGUAGUGGGGGAUAACGUCCGGAAACGGGCGCUAAUACCGCAUACGUCCUGCGGGUGAAAGUGGGGGAUCUUCGGACCUCACGCUCUCAGAUGAGCCUAGGUCGGAUUAGCUAGUUGGUGGGGUAAAGGCCUACCAAGGCGACGAUCCGUAACUGGUCUGAGAGGAUGAUCAGUCACACUGGAACUGAGACACGGACCAGACUCCUACGGGAGGCAGCAGUGGGGAAUAUUGGACAAUGGGCGAAAGCCUGAUCCAGCCAUGCCGCGUGUGUGAAGAAGGUCUUCGGAUUGUAAAGCACGUUAAGUUGGGAGGAAGGGCAGUAAGUUAAUACCUUGCUGGUUUGACGUUACCAACAGAAUAAGCACCGGCUAACUUCGUG